rnacentral:rRNA from 1 species
GACGAACGCUGGCGGCGUGCUUAACACAUGCAAGUCGAGCGGUAAGGCCCUUUCGGGGGUACGACGAGCGGCGAACGGGUGAGUAACACGUGGGUGACCUGCCCUCAGCUCUGGGAUAAGCCUGGGAAACCGGGUCUAAUACCGGAUAUGACUCCAUGACGCAUGUUGUGGGGUGGAAAGCCUUGUGCGGCUGAGGAUGGGCCCGCGGCCUAUCAGCUUGUUGGUGGGGUGANGGCCUACCAAGGCGACGACGGGUAGCCGGCCUGAGAGGGCACCGGCCACACUGGGACUGAGACACGGCCCAGACUCCUACGGGAGGCAGC